UCACGUCUUGCGACGGCAGUUUCACUAGAGUUCCCAGCUUUACCUGAUGGCAACUAAUGAUAAGGGUUGCGCUCGUUGCGGGACUUAACCCAACACCUCACGGCACGAGCUGACGACAGCCAUGCAGCACCUGUGCACCAGCCCCGAAGGGAAAUAACAUUUCUGCUAUCGUCUAGUGCAUGUCAAGCCUGGGUAAGGUUCUUCGCGUUGCAUCGAAUUAAACCACAUGCUCCACUGCUUGUGCGGGUCCCCGUCAAUUCUUUUGAGUUUCAGCCUUGCGACUGUACUUCCCAGGCGGUAUACUUAUCGCGUUAGCUACGGCACAACUAGGGUUGAGUCCAGUUACACCAAGUAUACAUAGUUUACGGCAAGGACUAC
rnacentral:misc_RNA from 1 species